rnacentral:rRNA from 1 species
UCAGAGGAAGUAAAAGUCGUAACAAGGUCUCCGUUGGUGAACCAGCGGAGGGAUCAUUA